GACAGAGGUGCCGAGCGUUAGGCGGAAUCACUGGGCUUAAAGCGUGUGUAGGCGGGCGGGCAAGUACCUUGUGAAAUCCCACGGCUCAACCGUGGAACGGCUGGGUAUACUGCCUGUCUUGAGCCAACUAGGGGCGAGCGGAACAGACGGUGGAGCGGUGAAAUGCGUAGAUAUCGUCUGGAACGCCAAAGGUGAAAACAGCUCGCUGGGGUUGUGCUGACGCUGAGACACGAAAGCCAGGGGGAGCGAACGGG
rnacentral:rRNA from 1 species